rnacentral:lncRNA from 1 species
AAAUCGAGUAUAUUUCUGAGAAUCUUUCCUCUCCUAUAAUUUCUGGCGCAUUCAUUCAGGGCUCUCACUUGGUAUAACUUUCAGCAAAACACUUUCUAGGGAGCAACAAGAGAUUGCAUGGACAAUGCUCAAGUUUAAAUGUUCAUAGACAGUCCAGUUCUGCCUCUCUUUAGCUUACCAGCUAGAUGAUCUAAAAUGUUUCAGAAAUCUUCCUGCUUGAAUUUGAGUGUGAGAUGUGAAACAAAUGGCAUCCUUAAAUGUAUUAUCCUUGGACCUCAACGUAUCAAUAGAGGAUUCUUCCUAAUUACAGUUUGCUGCAAAAUUAGUAUAAUUAAAUUAACUUUGAGAUGUGUUAAAAUACCAGCUUGUAAAAGAAACUUAAUGGCAACUAUUAGGGUGUUUAAUAUCUGUGUGCUCAGCAUAGUGCCAUCUUUCCUAAAGGAUUUACUUCAUGUUUUCGUUGCUAUUCUCCAAAUGAAAUUCAGUAAUUCGUUAAAAGUUUGCACCUCUUAUAUUUAGACAGUAUUGCAGAGACAUAGAAGCACUUUUCACAGACACAUGGUUAAAGUGAUUUGAUGAUGGUAUGAAAUUGGGUCAGCAUUGCAAUACAAUUUUGAAAAAAAAUUAGAAUGCAAUAAAGAAAUGUAGAUUUUACAUGUGACUACUUCACACUACCAAGACUCCUCCUUUAUAGUUUGAACUAUUCUUUUAUCUUGCUAAAAGGCAAUCAGAAGUCAAUGUGAUGCUUGAACCAGGACAGAAGUUUUAAGAACUAAGGUAUUUUUAAAUGAUGUAGUAUUGCAGGACACAGGUUAGCCCCCACAGGAACGCCACAUUCAGAUGAAACUUUGUGUUGUCAACAUGGGUCUAUUCUUACUAGUCUGGGGCGAAAAAAGAUUUACAGUUUUUCUGUUGAUCAAACACCGUUUCCUGCAGGCAGCACAAUACACCAGCACAUUGUUAGCACCACUCUGGUACAAAAUUAUUGAAAGAAAAGAAAAGGUCAUUGUUCUGGAAACACAUGAACCAACACUGAUCAUACAGAAUUUUUUCAAGUGGGGCAAUACAAUGAUACGAAUUCUUGUGUCUAGGUUUUCUCCAAUAGAUCAUUUUUGCUGGAUCUAGAAAACUCAAAAGUUCCCUAAGCAACUUUGAUCAUAAAUUUUGUCAUGCUUCAGCUUUUGGCAGUUUUGAUUCAUUACUGAUUAUUAAUAUUAUUAUUUACAUAUGAAUAUUGUCCCUUCUCAUUAUGAAAACACUAUUACAAACAUAUAUGGAUUUAUAUAAAGGUUGAUGACUAUAUGUUUUUUUAUAUUAGAAAACCGUGUGAAAACAAAAUUAAUCUGAUGAAUGCUGUUAAUUAUUUUAACUUUUUUAUUAGGUAUAAAAUGUUCAUAAAAUUAUUCUCUCUAUAACUUACCAAGAUUUAUCAGCUUGUGUAAUUUUUAUAAUCAGAGGAGUCUGGUUUUCUAAUUAAAGUUUUGUCAAAG